AUUUAAAAUCACAAUUUACUAUAGCCAUCUUGAGAAAUUUUUUUUUUUGCAUAUUUUAUGCCCUUUUCUAGUCAGGGAGAUUAUUAAGGGGCAAAGCCAGUUCCAACUCCUUAGUAAUCACAGACUGCACUCACACCUGUGGAGGAGGACCACAUGAUGAAGGAUGGGGAUCGCCGGAGUGGGUCCAGCACCCCAAAAAACUUUUCAAGAAUUACCAGACCUGGAAUACAAAAUCCAAGUCCUCCUGUGUGGCACGCUGACAACAGUACCAUUCGGCCAUCCAGCCACUGCCAUCUUGAGACUAAUAGGUCUGUCAAUAUUCUUUUACAUCCUGUGUUAUCUCAAACAAAGUAAAAAGUCCAUAUAAACAACUACUUUAUAUGGACUUUUUGCUUUGUUUUUAUAAGUAACAUCUGUGAUUUAA
rnacentral:lncRNA from 1 species